GUAGGUGGCAAGCGUUGUCCGGAAUUAUUGGGCGUAAAGCGCGCGCAGGUGGUUCUUUAAGUCUGAUGUGAAAGCCCACGGCUCAACCGUGGAGGGUCAUUGGAAACUGGAGAACUUGAGUACAGAAGAGGAAAGCGGAAUUCCACGUGUAGCGGUGAAAUGCGUAGAGAUGUGGAGGAACACCAGCGGCGAAGGCGGCUUUCUGGUCUGUAACUGACGCUGAGGCGCGAAAGCGUGGGGAGCAAACAGGAUUAGAUACCCUGGUAGUCCACGCCGUAAACGAUGAGUGCUAAGUGUUAGGGGGGUUUCCGCCCCCCUUAGUGCUGCAGCUAACGCAUUAAGCACUCCGCCUGGGAGUACGGCCGCAAGGCUG
rnacentral:rRNA from 1 species